ensembl:misc_RNA Y_RNA Y RNA
AGUGAUACUAUAAUCAGUGGGCAAAAAAUUAAUGAAAGAUAUUUGCAGUCUCUAGUGUCACUAAAGUUGGUAUACCACCCCCCCCCCCUGCUAAAUUUGACUGGCUUUAA